rnacentral:tRNA from 1 species
GUAGUCGUGGCCGAGUGGUUAAGGCGACAGACUAGAAAUCUGUUGGGAUUUGCCCGCGCAGGUUCAAAUCCUGCCGACUACG